GAGAGUAAAGACAAUUGUAGUGUGAUCAUCAGACUUGUAGAAAGUUGUGAGAGUGUUAAAGGUCCCAUUCUGUGCUUAGCUAGGCAGGAUGGGCUCCCAUUGACUUCAAUAAGAGUCUAGUGUGCUUAUCUCAGAACAGAAUUUGGUUGCAAGGCAUCAAUUUAAAAGCAGAUUUGUAUAUCUAAAGAGGCUGCCAAAUACAGCUAGGAGUGGGUUGGGAGAUGUGGAAGGAAUGCAGAAGAUGGAAAUCAAAGGAGUGACUGUAUUGCUAACUGGUAGUUCUGAGAAGAGCAAGGACAUGGAAUUGUCCACCCUGUUCCUUCCCAGGAACUGGCUUGUAUUCUGCCAUUAUACCUGUCUCCACCUUCUCUUUCUGAAAGGUGCUAGUUUAUUUCAAAAAACCCUGAGAACAUAACUCUCGGUCAGAGAGGGAAGGAUCAGACUGGAAUAAACGAGGGCUUUCUUGGCUGCAUUACAUCCAUAUUGACAUGAAAGGUGGGGUUUUCUCUCAUGAUACUAGAUAAUGAAUUUGAGCCUGGAUUAGAAAGGUAUAAAGAACCCAUCACAUAAAUGCUUUUUGGUCAGCCUGGGACUCACGAUACUGUGAUCCAGAAAGAGACACUUCAUACAGAUGGGAGAUGGUGAGACGUACCUAAAGAGGGAGUUGGGCCUGGUGAUUAGAGCUGGACUGCGGUAGGGUACCGGUGGGAGUCUAGUAGCUCACGUCAACAGAAGGAUCCAGGGAUGUAUUAUUGUCCAGUUCUUGAAUCCUGAGGAUCUGUGGUCUGAGGAGAGCAAUAGGAUCUCACUAAGCGCUGACUCCUCCAAGGUGAGGCGCACCCUCGGCUCCCUUGGAUUUCAGAGUUGGGGGCACCUGGAUGACUUUUAGAAUCCAAAACCAGAUGGCGGGUGCAGCAGGACACAGCCGAUUUUCCCAGUCUUGGGGCUAGUCUGGUUCCCAGCCCAAAGGCUACUGUAACUUAUGCCUGGCUGCCCAUGGCCCAGAGGAGCUAUUCAAGCAGCUGGUGUGCAGGCAUGCCCUGAUUACACUAUCGGUGCCAAGGACUAGAAGGGCCAUGGCUUAGAACCAGUGUAGAAGCUGUGUCAGCCAGGGAUUCACCUCCAGGGGGGAAUCUCCAGGUAGCUGGUUAAAUUGGCUUCCCAGCUGCUCUGCAGCACUGGAACUGGGGCCCGAAUCUCUCUCCCAGGGUGAGAAACUGGCCUCAUUGAAGUCAAUGGGAGUUUUGUCAUUGACUGGCUUAAUCCUAUUUCACCCGAGAGUCACCUAAUAGUCCACCUAGAGGGAAGGUUGAGAGAGGAAAAACAGAUACAGCAUGAAACAUCUAGUUGAAGAAUAAGUGAGCAUAAUUUUGCAAGUGCGUAACCAAUGCUUUAAUUUAUUCUUCUCCCUACCGCCGAUGCAAUGGCUAAUCAUACUAAAUGCAUGUGCCGUAACAGUGCCCCGUGCACUGCACUCAUUGGAAAGUAAGGCAUGUUGGCUGGAAAACUGGGGAUAAAUUCAUUUUGCUUACAAGACUAUAUUUACUCAGCAAAAUGAGCUGGAGGCUUCUGUAUAAAUUGAUAUGUCACUUGGCACUCUAAUAACAGCAGCACCUGGGGUGAAAGUGGAAAUUCUGUAGUACUUGUGUGACGGGUAUACUGUUAAUGUAUGAUUCUGUACAUUG